rnacentral:rRNA from 1 species
GACCAGACUCCUACGGGAGGCAGCAGUGAGGAAUAUUGGUCAAUGGGCGCGAGCCUGAACCAGCCAAGUCGCGUGAGGGAUGACGGUCCUAUGGAUUGUAAACCUCUUUUGUCAGGGAGCAAAGGGCGCCACGUGUGGCGUUUUGCGAGUACCUGAAGAAAAAGCAUCGGCUAACUCCGUGCCAGCAGCCGCGGUAAUACGGAGGAUGCGAGCGUUAUCCGGAUUUAUUGGGUUUAAAGGGUGCGUAGGUGGUUAAUUAAGUCAGCGGUGAAAGUUUGUGGCUCAACCAUAAAAUUGCCGUUGAAACUGGUUGACUUGAGUAUAUUUGAGGUAGGCGGAAUGCGUGGUGUAGCGGUGAAAUGCAUAGAUAUCACGCAGAACUCCGAUUGCGAAGGCAGCUUACUAAACUGCCACUGACAUUGAUGCUCGAAAGUGUGGGUAUCAAACAGGAUUAGAUACCCGUGUA